rnacentral:rRNA from 1 species
AAAGGAAUUGACGGGGGCCCGCACAAGCGGCGGAGCAUGUUGCUUAAUUCGACGCAACGCGAAGAACCUUACCAAGGCUUGACAUACACCGGAAACGCCCAGAGAUGGGUGCCUCCUUUUGGACUGGUGUACAGGUGGUGCAUGGCUGUCGUCAGCUCGUGUCGUGAGAUGUUGGGUUAAGUCCCGCAACGAGCGCAACCCUUGUUCCAUGUUGCCAGCAUGCCCGUUUGGGUGGUGGGGACUCAUGGGAGACUGCCGGGGUCAACUCGGAGGAAGGUGGGGAUGACGUCAAGUCAUCAUGCCCCUUAUGUCUUGGGCUGCAAACAUGCUACAAUGGUCGGUACAGAGGGUUGCGAUACCGUGAGGUGGAGCGAAUCCCUAAAAGCCGGUCUCAGUUCGGAUUGGGGUCUGCAACUCGACCCCAUGAAGUCGGAGUCGCUAGUAAUCGCAGAUCAGCAAUGCUGCGGUGAAUACGUUCCCGGGCCUUGUACACACCGCCCGU